rnacentral:lncRNA from 1 species
GCAAUUCUGCCCUGAUAUAUCGUCUCAGGGAGCCAUUUAGUUCUGUCCAAAGUAGUGCCUGCAGAGGCACUGUGGGUUCCUCUGGCCUAUCUCUCCCUUUGUAGUCAUGAGGGUCCUGUGUGGCAAGUGGCCUGGGCUCACCCCAUGUACGGCAACAUCCUGGCAUCGUGCUCCUAUGACCGGAAAGUCAUUAUCUGGAGAGAGGAAAACGGCACCUGGGAGAAGAGCCACGAGCAUGCGGGACACGACUCCUCAGUGAACUCGGUGUGCUGGGCCCCCCAUGACUACGGCCUGAUCCUGGCCUGUGGGAGCUCGGAUGGGGCCAUCUCCCUGCUGACUUACACCGGGGAAGGCCAAUGGGAAGUAAAGAAGAUCAACAACGCUCACACCGUGAGUCCAUCCCCUGCCUUUCGUGCAGUGAGAGCGCCUGCCUUGCCCCGUGUCUGCUGCAGCCUCCCUAGAGGGUGGCACGGGAGGGUCCCCGCUGGACAGUGGGCCGGGGAGUGGUCAGCUGACCAGACAUGAUUGCUCUAGAGCAGCUUUGAGCCUCUCUGCCCUGAAGCCAGACCAGGCAGGGCUUGGCACUGCUUCCUUGUUGUGUGCUCCCAAGCAGGGGAGGGCUGGUGCAGCAGCAGCCUGCUCACUGCCACCUUAGCUAUGGUUGCCUCCAGGUGACAUGCCCUGCAGUAGUCAUUGGGACCCUGUAGAAUGGAGUGGUGUUAUUAAAACUUUUAAAAAGUAUGUGAGCUAUGCAUACAUUUAAGAAAGAUUAAUAUAAACAA